rnacentral:lncRNA from 1 species
UCGAAUGCCCAUCAUCAAAAUAUAGCUAUGCAUUCGGCAAUAUAACAACCGGUUCUGUAAAUUAUGGUUUUGAGGCCAAGGCAGGCACGUCGUGUAUCUAGGUUUAAAUAUCUAUCCAUCAACGAAAAAGAGCAUAAGUAAAAGAGAUUGGUACACGUUAAUUAUCAAGAUUUUUGUAUUAUUUCAUGUGACAGGCAGUUUA